AUAUCCAUCUCCAAUGUGCGAAUUUCGCAACCCGAUAAAAGCCAUGGCAUGCAAUUCAACUCUGCAACAACGCAUGCCAUGGGGGACACUGCAAAUCAUAAGGAUCGAUAGCGCUUAAGGUAGAGAUGAAUAACAGGGUAAUUCUCCCUUGGCAGAAAUAUUUAUGGUGCAUUUACUUGACUGUUAACUGGCCCUGCUUUCAGCCAAAGGAGAAUUGCCCUGAAAUUCAAUUACUCUACCAUGUAAGUCCUUAUAUAGCCCGCCCGCAGCAUCAAUGGUGCACAUGCACACUCUUUGGUACUUGACCUACAAGCUAGAAAGACUGAGCACUGUAGUCGAAACUAGCUAGGGCUGCAAGGAAGCUAGGUUCUUUGAAGUUCAAGUUGAGCUUUGAAGUUCAAGUUGAGCUUUGAUGAGUACAGUCAAGAACCUAAUCAAGCUAGCUAGCAGGCACAGGAAAGGCUACAAAUGAUCAUCUAGCUAGUUUAUGAUCUAACAAGUGGUUCUAGUAGCUAGCUAGUUAGAUUAGUAAUAACUGUGUUCAAAGAGUACACCCGUAUAUAUAGUUGAGUGGCUGAGAUAUGUAUGUAUACAUAGCACUCAGCAUUGUAUUAUUCAUUCAACACAUGCAGAAAAUAAAAAAGAUUGUUGCUCUUA